rnacentral:rRNA from 1 species
AUACGGAGGGUGCAAGCGUUAAUCGGAAUUACUGGGCGUAAAGCGUACGUAGGCGGUUCGUUAAGUUAGAUGUGAAAGCCCCGGGCUUAACCUGGGAACUGCAUUUAAAACUGGCGAACUAGAGUUGAGUAGAGGGGAGUGGAAUUUCAGGUGUAGCGGUGAAAUGCGUAGAGAUCUGAAGGAACACCAGUGGCGAAGGCGACUCCCUGGACUCAAACUGACGCUGAGGUACGAAAGCGUGGGUAGCAAACGGGAUUAGAAACCCCAGUAGUCC